AUUGAACGCUGGCGGCAGGCCUAACACAUGCAAGUCGAACGAGUGGCGGACGGGUGAGUAAUGUCUGGGAAACUGCCUGAUGGAGGGGGAUAACUACUGGAAACGGUAGCUAAUACCGCAUACCAUCAGAUGUGCCCAGAUGGGAUUAGCUUGUUGGUGGGGUAACGGGUCACCAAGGCGACGAUCCCUAGCUGGUCUGAGAGGAUGACCCGGCACACCUGGAAUGAGACACCGUCCCAAAUCCCACGGGAGGGAGCCAGGGGGAAUAAUGCACCAUGGGGGCAGCCCUGUUGCGCCCAGCCGGGGUGAAUGAGGAAGCCCUCGGGGUUGAAAAUACCUUUAGCGGGGAGGCGUUACCCGCAGAAGAAGCACCGGCUAACUCCGUGCCAGCAGCCGCGGUAAUAC
rnacentral:rRNA from 1 species